ACGACCAUCAGUACCAAAUUUUUCCCCAAAUUGAUUUGAACCUAGGGUUUUCCCUCUCUUCUUCUCCAAUUCUGUACUAGAAGAUAAUGGUGAACACUCGUGAUCUUCAACACCCCCCCCCCCCUGAAGUUGGAGGGGAGGGAACGAACACCCAACUUGCCAAGCAAGAGUUGAUGAGAUAAGCAAAGAGAGGGGUUUAGUGAAGAGAUCGGCUAAUUGAGAAGAUGCCGGCACAAAGGAAAGCGAAAUUAAUCCGGCUAGGUACUGCUGACAAACAAAAUGGUAAUCCAGUUCCACGUGCUUAGUACGUUCUUGGAAAACUUCUGAAAACACCGGAAUUGGAAGCGUCGGAGGACAGCCAAAAUCAUUCAACAAUCGUUUAAGCCAGGUGGUAAAAUUUAGCACCAUUUGGCUGACCAAACCUAUCUUCAAGGUCACUCCAAAGGUCCUCUGCAGAUUUAGAGUAAAUGACACUGUCUGGUAUGUCUUUAGACAGGGAGUUCAAUAGCCAUGAGGCUUACCAUUUCAUUACAUCUAUUCCAAAGCUUAAAAUUAGCACUAGUGGCAUCAAGAGACUUGUUGCUGCCAUCAAUAAAGCCAACUUUGUUCUUGGCUGAUAGUGCAAUAAGUACAGUCCUCUUCCACCCUUCAUAUCCUUUCCCUUCAAACAUGAAAUUCACCAAGGACAUUCCUGGUGAGUCUAAAGGGUGAAGGAAAUAUGGACUGUUGUUGUCUAUAGGUGUAGAAACAGCAGCAGAAGCAGGGGAUGAUUCAGAGGUAUCAACCAAACUGAAAAGACAAGAUCAAAAAGAAAAAGAAAUAGAAAAAUGAAGAACAAAGGAAACCAGAUUCUAAUAUUUCGAUCUUGCUCUGAUACCAUGUUAAAAACCAAGGAAUGAAGAAAACAAGAUUGGAAAAUUUUCGGAGGAUCUUCAUUGAUUUCUGUACAUGUAUUUAUACAAACAAUGUAAUGAAAAUAACAAACCUAUACACUUGCUAAUUUUCCUAGUCAAAUACUUGGUGAAUUUCUAUUGGUUCCUAAAUUCAGAAUAUUCUAUUUUGCAAUAUACUAUUUUGUACUAUACAAUUGUACACAAGAUUGAUCUAAGGGUUGAGAUUUAUCCAA